GCCGGUGUUGCUCAGUGGUUAAAGUGUUUGCUCUCAGACAGAAGGGAUGUGGGUUCGAUUCCCAGUCAAUGGCA
rnacentral:tRNA from 1 species